rnacentral:tRNA from 1 species
GUUUUAAUAAUUUAAUGAUAAAAUAUUGGUCUUGUAAACCAAAAAUAAGAAACCUUUUAAAACU